rnacentral:rRNA from 1 species
UACGUAGGGGGCAAGCGUUGUCCGGAUUUAUUGGGCGUAAAGCGCUCGCAGGUGGUUCGUCGCGUCGUGCGUGAAAGACCCCGGCUCAACUGGGGGAGGUCGUGCGAUACGGGCGGGCUGGAGGGGGGUAGGGGCAGGCGGAACUGUGGGUGGAGCGGUGAAAUGCGUUGAGAUCCACAGGAACUCCGGUGGCGAAGGCGGCCUGCUGGACCCCAUCUGACGCUGAGGCGCGAAAGCCAGGGGAGCGAACGGG